GGUCAGUGAUGAGUUGUAAAAGGUCUGAAGCUAAGAGCUCCGCCUCCCUCCAGCUCCCCUGGUCCUCCCAGCCCACAUGCCGAGUUUCCCGGCAUGCUCUAGGUGUGCAUCUGGGAGCAGCACCGUGGCUGACACUGAGAGGCGUUCUGCUCAGUGUGUGUGUGCGAGAGAGACAACAUGUCACACAGAGUAGAAACGUCUGACAGAAACAUUUUCACUUUGUUAUACACACUAGAACUUACACACUCACAUGUACAAAACACUCAGGAGGGCGGAGCUUCAGGGGGUGCGAGCAGCUCAUGAUCUCCAGUUUUCAAUCUGAGACC